UGGGGAAUAUUGGACAAUGGGCGCAAGCCUGAUCCAGCAAUGCCGCGUGUGUGAAGAAGGCCUGCGGGUUGUAAAGCACUUUCAGUAGGGAAGAAAUGCCUGGAGUUAAUAACUCCGGGUCUUGACGUCACCUACAAAAGAAGCACCGGCUAACUCCGUGCCAGCAGCCGCGGUAAUACGGAGGGUGCGAGCGUUAAUCGGAAUUACUGGGCGUAAAGCGCGCGUAGGCGGCUUGGUCAGUCGGAUGUGAAAGCCCCGGGCUUAACCUGGGAAUUGCAUUCGAUACUGCCGAGCUAGAGUAUGGGAGAGGGAAGUGGAAUUUCCGGUGUAGCGGUGAAAUGCGUAGAUAUCGGAAGGAACACCAGUGGCGAAGGCGACUUUCUGGCCCAAAACUGACGCUGAGGUGCGAAAGCGUGGGUAGCGAACAGG
rnacentral:rRNA from 1 species